GCGUGUGGGACACGCUGGUUUUUGGCUGAAGCAAAACAAAGGCCAUUUUGGGAGAAAAUAUUAGUUCCUCCGGGAGGACCACUGAUGUGAAAGUAACACAUAUCAUUUCUUUUGUGAUUCAGCUUCACAUCAGCUCCAAACCAAUGGCUUAAAUCUCAUCCGUUUAUUCAAUCCAAUGAUUCUCCAUGACCCUGGCUACAACUGGAAGCCUCCAAGGCUCACACGACCACUACCGGCGGUGCUUGCUGGCCUGACCUUCUCCUCUCUUUAGGUCUCUGUUUUUUCGCUUUCUCAAGUCCAGCCGUGGCCAAGCUUUUGCUUGCACCGCGACACCACCAUUUCUGUCAAGAAGCUGGAGGCGCACCAACUAUAACUUAAUGAGUUGGUCAUGCCAUUUAAGUUUGUAGAAGAACUUGAUCUUGAAGCUUAGAAGAGCUUCUUCUUAUUUUUUUUCUUUUGUGGGAAUUAUGUAUCAUGAAUAUAUGAUGAUGGGAAGAUUUGUUUCUUGUUAACAAAGUGUAUAUUUCAACAAAACUAUUGUUAUAUGGCCUUGUGGUCGAAGUGUACAUUCUAAUAAAAUUUUGUUUAUUUUUAGAACAAC